UGGAAGUAAAAGUCGUAACAAGGUUUCCGUAGGUGAACCUGCGGAAGGAUCAUUACCUAGAGUUGUAGGCUUUGCCUGCUAUCUCUUACCCAUGUCUUUUGAGUACCUUCGUUUCCUCGGCGGGUUCGCCCGCCGAUUGGACAAUUUAAACCAUUUGCAGUUGCAAUCAGCGUCUGAAAAAACUUAAUAGUUACAACUUUCAACAACGGAUCUCUUGGUUCUGGCAUCGAUGAAGAACGCAGCGAAAUGCGAUAAGUAGUGUGAAUUGCAGAAUUCAGUGAAUCAUCGAAUCUUUGAACGCACAUUGCGCCCCUUGGUAUUCCAUGGGGCAUGCCUGUUCGAGCGUCAUUUGUACCUUCAAGCUCUGCUUGGUGUUGGGUGUUUGUCUCGCCUCUGCGCGUAGACUCGCCUCAAAACAAUUGGCAGCCGGCGUAUUGAUUUCGGAGCGCAGUACAUCUCGCGCUUUGCACUCAUAACGACGACGUCCAAAAGUACAUUUUUACACUCUUGACCUCGGAUCAGGUAGGGAUACCCGCUGAACUUAAGCAUAUCAAUAAGCGGAGGA
rnacentral:rRNA from 1 species